GGCAGGUGACCGAUUCACAAGUUAUACAUCUUGGUUGUGUGGAAUAGCCGGGAGCUGAAAACUGAAAGACACAAGAACAUCGGCUGUCAGUGCAUAGCGCUGGAGGCUGCAGGGUGGCAGUGUGUUGUGGGGAGUUCCUGAGAUCGCAGAAGAGACAGAGGGGGACUGGCACUCACUCACGUAGAGUCACAAACACAUCCUCUCUGCGUAGUGGUGGGCUGUGUUGCCAGCUAGUGUCUCAGGGAUUGUGCGUGCGGUGGUACAGAACAGUAGGAUGGUGGCUGUGUGGUUGCCGUGGGGAUGGGCCUGGAGGACUGUACUGCUGGUGACUGGACUGGCUUCACUGAGCCCCGGGACUGAUGCCAAUGUGUUGGAUACCAUAGUGCUACUGAGGAACCCUGUAAGAGACAGGUCAGACAGCAGGAAGGAGGAGGGUGGGAGUACAGCCCCGGCUCCAGCACAGAGGAUCCUCUGGUGUCACUGUUACCCUCACUGUUCUGAAGACUCCAACAAUAC